GACAGAGGUGCCGAGCGUUAGGCGGAAUCACUGGGCUUAAAGCGUGUGUAGGCGGAUCUGUAAGUACCUUGUGAAAUCCCACGGCUCAACCGUGGAACUGCUUGGUAUACUGCGGGUCUUGAGCCACCUAGGGGCAAGUGGAACAAACGGUGGAGCGGUGAAAUGCGUAGAUAUCGUUUGGAACGCCAAUGGUGAAAACAACUUGCUGGGGGCGUGCUGACGCUGAGACACGAAAGCCAGGGGAGCAAACGGG
rnacentral:rRNA from 1 species